GGGGACGUAGCUCAGCUGGGAGAGCGCCUGCUUUGCAAGCAGGAAGCCAGGGGUUCGAAUCCCCUCGUCUCCACCA
rnacentral:tRNA from 3 species